GACGAACGCUGGCGGCGUGCUUAACACAUGCAAGUCGAACGGAGUGGCGAACGGGUGAGUAAUACGUGGGUAAUCUGCCUUGCACUUCGGGAUAAGCUUGGGAAACUGGGUCUAAUACCGGAUAGUGCAAGUUGAGCUCGCGGCCUAUCAGCUUGUUGGUGUGGUAAUGGCUUACCAAGGCGUCGACGGGUCGCCGGCCUGGGAGAGUGUGCGGCCACAUUGGGGCUGAGAUACGGCCCGGACUCCUACGGGGGGCAGCAGUGGGGAAGAUUGCACAAUGGGCGGAAGGCUGAUGCAGCGACGCCGGGUGGGGGAGGAAGGCAGUCGGGUUGUAAACUCCUUUCGACAGGGACGCGGUACCUGUAUAAGAAGCACCGGCUAACUACGUGCCAGCAGCCGCGGUAAUUC
rnacentral:rRNA from 1 species